GUGAGCUACAGUUCGAAUCUGAAUGAAAUGCCGACAGUCGAUCGCGUAUACUGUGUUAUUUAUUUCGAUUUUCGAGGUUUAUGUCAAAUCUUAUCAGUACAGGUUUUGGAUUGCAUCAAAUUUUAUUUAAAAAAGUAUAAAUUUCAAAGCCACGAGCAAUUAAUCAAAUUUAUUUCGUGCGGGAAGUUGUCUGUCUGUGUCUGACAUGUUGAAC